rnacentral:rRNA from 1 species
GCGUGGAUGAUGUGGUUAAUUCGAUGCAACGCGAAAACCUUAUCCACCUUUGACAUGGCAGGAAUCCCGAAGAGAUUUGGGAGUGCUCGAAAGAGAACCUGCACACAGGUGCUGCAUGGCUGUCGUCAGCUCGUGUCGUGAGAUGUUGGGUUAAGUCCCGCAACGAGCGCAACCCUUAUCAUUAGUUGCUACGCAAGGGCACUCUAAUGAGACUGCCGGUGACAAGCCGGAGGAAGGUGGGGAUGACGUCAAGUCCUCAUGGCCCUUAUGGGUAGGGCUUCACACGUCAUACAAUGGUCGGUACAGAGGGUUGCCAAGCCGCGAGGUGGAGCCAAUCCCAGAAAGCCGAUCGUAGUCCGGAUUGUUCUCUGCAACUCGAGAGCAUGAAGUCGGAAUCGCUAGUAAUCGCGGAUCAGCAUGUCGCGGUGAAUACGUUCCCGGGUCUU